rnacentral:rRNA from 1 species
GUAGGUGGCAAGCGUUGUCCGGAAUUAUUGGGCGUAAAGCGCGCGCAGGCGGUUCUUUAAGUCUGAUGUGAAAGCCCACGGCUCAACCGUGGAGGGUCAUUGGAAACUGGAGAACUUGAGUACAGAAGAGGAAAGCGGGAUUCCACGUGUAGCGGCGAAAUGCGUAGAGAUGUGGAGGAACACCAGUGGCGAAGGCGGCUUUCUGGUCUGUAACUGACGCUGAGGCGCGAAAGCGUGGGGAGCAAACAGGGAUUAGAUACCCUGGUAGUCCACGCCGUAAACGAUGAGUGCUAAGUGUUAGGGGGUUUCCGCCCCCUUAGUGCUGCAGCUAACGCAUUAAGCACUCCGCCUGGGGAGUACGGCCGCAAGGCUG